CUUCUCCUUGUGUUUUAUUCCUAAGUGUCAUAUUGGAUAAACCUGACAUUUUUGGGGGCUCGUCCGGGAUCGCAAUAUACCUGACGCCUCCAGACGCUGAGUCGACGGCCAGGAAGACCGUGGCCACGGCUAAAACACCCUUUCCGGGACUAGGUUUCGGCUCCUCGUCUGGGGGCUGAGGGUUGAAGCGAAUCCAGAGGAGAGAGGACUACUCUUGGUAAGUAGGGCGGCGGUGUCCUGUACGUACUUAAACUCCGCAUUAACACUCUUUCAAGCGUUGAAUGAGGAUCUAUUGAGAAGGGACUCUUUCAAGCGUUGAAUGAGUGUUUGCGCGCCGGC